AUGCUGACUGGCUGCUCCAUGCUGACUGACAGCUCUGGCUGCUCCAUGCUGACUGGCAGCUCUGGCUGCUCCAUGCUGACUGGCAGCUCUGGCUGCUCCAUGCUGACUGGCAGCUCUGGCUGCUCCAUGCUGACUGGCAGCUCUGGCUGCUCCAUGCUGACUGGCAGCUCUGGCUGCUCCAUGCUGACUGGCAGCUCUGGCUGCUCCAUGCUGACUGGCUGCUCUGGCUGCUCCAUGCUGACUGGCUGCUCUGGCUGCUCCAUGCUGACUGGCUGCUCCAUGCUGACUGGCUGCUCCAUGCUGACUGGCUGCUCCAUGCUGACUGGCAGCUCUGGCUGCUCCAUGCUGACUGGCGGCCCUGGCUGCUCCAUGCUGACUGGCUGCUCCAUGCUGACUGGCGGCCCUGGCUGCUCCAUGCUGACUGGCAGCCCUGGCUGCUCCAUGCUGACUGGCAGCCCUGGCUGCUCCAUGCUGACUGGCGGCCCUGGCUGCUCCAUACUGACUGGCGGCCCUGGCUGCUCCAUACUGACUGGCGGCCCUGGCUGCUCCUUGCAGACUGGCAGCUCUGGCGGCUCCUUGCAGACUGGCAGCUCUGGCGGCUCCUUGCAGACUGGCAGCUUUGGCGGCAUCCUGCAGACAGGCAGCUUUGGCGGCAUCCUGCAGACAGGCAGCUCUGGCGGCAUCCUGCAGACAGGCAGCUCUGGCGGCUCCUUGCAGACUGGCAGCUCCUUGCAGACUGGCAGCUCUAUGCAGACUGGCAGCUCUAUGCAGACUGGCAGCUCCUUGCAGACUGGCAGCUCUAUGCUAACUGGCAGCUCUAUGCUAACUGGCAGCUCUAUGCUAACUGGCAGCUCUAUGCUAACUGGCAGCUCUAUGCUAACUGGCAGCUCUAUGCUAACUGGCAGUUCUGAACAGGCGGGAGACUCCGGCAGCGCUGUAGAGAAGGAAGGCUCUAACAGCGCUAAACAGGCGGGAGACUCCGACAGCGCUGGAGAGGAGGAGGGCUCCGACAGCGCUGGACAGGCGAGGCGCACUGUAGGCCUGAUGCGUGGUGCUGGCACUGGUGGUACUGGGCCGAGGACACGCACAGGAAGCCUGGUGCGGGGAGCUGCUACCGGAGGGCUGGGGUGUGGAGGUGGCACAGGAUGGGUUAGACCGUGA
rnacentral:lncRNA from 1 species